AAAAUUGUCCACAAGGAGUACAUUAGUUUCAUUUAUAUGAUUUCUAUUCUCCUUUCCAAGUAACACGAACUCAACAAAAUACAACAUGGCCAGCUUGACCAUUUUCAUGUCAUCAUUUGACUUAGCCUGCAAGAACUUUGUACAAAGUUCUUGUGUUGUGAUUGCACAAUUUCCAUCUAGGAACUCAUCAACUAUUGUGUAAUCAUCAUCAUUAUUUUUAGUAUCGGGGUCAUACGAUGGACUGCAAUCUAAGCCUGUCACCAAGGCAAACUCCUCCAAUGAAAAUCGAACAUUUUUUCGUCCGAUCCUAAACCACAUUACAUUUUCAUCUGAUUUCACUUCUCUCA
rnacentral:lncRNA from 1 species